rnacentral:rRNA from 1 species
UGGGGAAUAUUGGACAAUGGGCGCAAGCCUGAUCCAGCCAUGCCGCGUGAGUGAUGAAGGCACUAGGGUUGUAAAGCUCUUUCACCGGUGAAGAUAAUGACGGUAACCGGAGAAGAAGCCCCGGCUAACUUCGUGCCAGCAGCCGCGGUAAUACGAAGGGGGCUAGCGUUGUUCGGAUUUACUGGGCGUAAAGCGCACGUAGGCGGACUAUUAAGUCAGGGGUGAAAUCCCGGGACUCAACCCCGGAACUGCCUUUGAUACUGGUAGUCUUGAGUUCGAGAGAGGUGAGUGGAAUUCCGAAUGUAGUGGUGAGAUUCGUAGAUAUUCGGAGGAACACCAGUGGCGAAGGCAGGUCACUGGCUCGAUACUGACGCUGAGGUGCGAAAGCGUGGGGAGCAAACAGG